rnacentral:piRNA from 1 species
UUUUUAUUAAAAGCAGAAACU